CAGGAUUCGGAACUAUACCAUGUACAGACAAGCAUACAGCACGCAGCCCAUCUAUAAGUGCUGCCCGGGUCGGAGCCGGUGGGACCAUGAACCUGGCUGCCCACACUCUGUCUCUGCAGUGGGGACAUGUUUCAAUGGAAAGAGGUGCUCAGACAGUGAGGCCCAGUGGUGCCGGUGCUCAGAGGGUUUCCAAGGCCCCCACCGUCAAUAUGUGUGAAAAUUGUUGGACUGAUUGAGAAGUUGAGAAAGCAAGGUCCUCCUUUCCGUCUCCUUACCCCGGUGGCUCUGUCCUGCUACCUUUCCAUGUGAGCCUCCAGCGUAUUCAUCUUCUGAAGCCUGGACAGAGCCCUUUAAGACAGGGUAUAUCUGGGGUUGGCAGAGGUUUUAUUAGUAUUAUACAUUUCCAGUGAUUUCAGUGUCACUUCUGAAGAGAGAAGAGAUGAAUACAUGUAGGGAUAUGCCAUGUUGGAGCCUUGGAGAAAUAAAUGGAGAAUGAAGAUUACUGAUAAAUUGGGGGCUGUAUUUGAUUUGCUGUUGCUAAGUGCUCUCUUUCAGUGAGCUUGUCUGUGAAGACUUCCUCAACCAACUGAAGAUCUUUUAUCAGUUUUGUUUUGUGUGUUAAACUGACCAGAGUGGGCCAAAAAUUUUCCUGUUAAGUAUGAAAUGAAGUGCCAAAUGUGUCUCUCCCAGCAAAUCGGCUGGCCGCAGAGCAGUGCUUCUUUGCAGCAAUUGACAGUCUGCUGCAGCACGCCUAACCACCAAUUCACACCCCAGGGGACUGUCCUCCCCAGGAAGAGAUUUGCUAUCAGUCAUCUGACACUUCAGUUACUUUAAAAAUUACUCCUAGGAUUUGGAUUUCUUGAAGGAAAUACCUAAAUGUGCUAGAAACUGGGAAACACAGGGACAGCACUCCUGUGAAAAGAGCAAUGGUUGGGCAAGGAGCUGGAACCCUUGGAUUUGUACCUGGCCCUGUGCCAAGUGUGUAUACACAUUAUCUUGUGUAAUCCUCUCAGCAGUUCAGUGAGGGGAGAGGGCCACCACUUUGCAGAUGAAGAAAUAAUUUCAGAAUUGUUAAAUAACUUGCACAGGGUGAGAAGGAGUCCUGACUUGAACCUAGAGAAAAAUAAAGAAAGCAAGGAAAAUAUUUGACUGGCUUUAUCUUAAAGUAUACUUGGCUGUUUGUGAUUGGUUGUCCUUAGUGUUUUGGUUUCAUAAUACCUUCUAACACAUGAAAUCUAAAUGUUAACCUAUUUGCACAUAUUUAAGUAGCUGAGAUCAUAGAUACAACAUUCCCUACCUGAGUCUAGAGAAUUUUGUAAUUGCUCCUUUUCUUCUACAUACAGUUCUAUAUUAAAAUACUUAAGGAUGUGACAGUUAUUAUUGCUAAUAGAUCAUUGCUGUAAAAUGCUCUAAAUUUUGUAAGUUAAAGAGCACCGUUCUGAUAAAAUGUACCAUUAUUAUAUAAGAUUUUCCACCUGUGGAGGUUUCUAAUUAUGCUUUCCAUGCAUUAAAAAAAAAAUGCAGCUAGAAAAACUGAUAAAUGGCCGACAGCUACUUCCCUGCUGAUUAUACAAAAUUUCAUUAUAGUAGAACAUUUAACAAUUUAAUUCUGGGCUCUCUCAGGAAUAGUCUGUUAAAUGCCUUGCUUAGGUCUCUUUUUAAGCACCAAAUUUUCAGCUUAAAUAAAAGGUACAUUGAGCUUUUGCCAUAAGCAAAGUUAAGUCAUUAAAUUACAAAAGGUGAGCUUGAAGAUGACAGGUAAAGAUACAAGAAAUAAACAUAAUCAAAACAUG